rnacentral:ncRNA from 1 species
AGAUGACCCGCCUAAUUUAAGCAUAUUAAUCAGCGGAGGAAAAGAAACCAACCGGGAUUCCCUGAGUAAGUGCGACCGAAACGGGAAGAGCCCAGCGCAAAGCCUCGCGUCCCCUUCGCGGGGGGCUCGAGGGGUGCUGCGUUCGGGAGAGGUCCUGCACGCGCUUCCGAGCCGCCUAAGUUGUUCAUGAAUGACUCUCAUACCCACGGAGGGUGUCAGGCCCGUGUGGCGGAAAGGGACUUCCUCCUCCUCGUUCGCGGGGAGGGGGGUUUCGGGAGUGCGGAACGGGCCUCUCCUUAGAGUCGGGUUGCCUGAAACCGCAACCUAAAGCAGGUGGUAAACUCCAUCUAAGGCUAAAUAUGACCACGAGACCGAUAGCGAACAAGUACCGUGAGGGAAAGUUGAAACAGAACCCUGUAGAGAGAGUUCAAGAGAACGUGAAACCGUUAAGAGGCUAAACGGGCGGAGAUUCGAAGAUCGAACUGGGGGGAUUCAGUUCGUCGGCCUGCCGGGAGACGGCAGCGGGCGUGGCGACUUCCCGUUCCGGAGGCCUCGGCCGAAGGAGCCAACGCGGGGAGCGGCCCCCGCCGCCUGCCCGGCGCCGGCGGGCGAUCUUCCCCCCGCAGUAGGUCGCCGCGACGCGUUGGGGACACACGGGCGUCUGAGGCCCGGGUCCUGGUAGGAACCGGCGGCGCGUUCGUCCUCCGCUCCUCGUUGGGCGGGGGGCGUUUUCCAGCGCGCCCGUCCGGGGAUCCCCCGGUGCCCUCGUCUUGCCCCCCCGACGGUCUCUCCUCCGGGGCCUGCCGGGAACGGGGGACUGGUCCGAGGCCGCGGUCGAGCCUAAUUCGCUGGCUCCCGCGCUUCCCUUUCCCUCUCCCGCGUGGCCUUCGCGGCGUGCAAAGAGUCGGUACUCCUCCCGACCCGUCUUGAAACACGGACCAAGGAGUCCAACAUGUAUGCGAGUCAAUGGGCGCGCUAAACCCACGGGCGCAAUGAAAGUGAUCGGGCCGAUCCCUCGGAGCAGCGGGCGGCCGCGCGCACCCGGACGGAGUGACUGACUUUCCUCCCCGGGACGGCGCGGGC